CUCCUGGAAACGGGUGGUAAUGCCGGAUGCUCCGCCCCCCCGCAUGGGGGGUCGGGAAGGCUUUUGCGGAAUGGGAUGGGGUCGCGUCCUAUCAGCUUGUUGGCGGGGCGACGGCCCACCAAGGCUUCGACGGGUAGCCGGCCUGAGAGGGCGACCGGCCACAUUGGGACUGAGAUACGGCCCAGACUCCUACGGGAGGCAGCAGUGGGGAAUAUUGCACAAUGGGGGGAACCCUGAUGCAGCGACGCCGCGUGCGGGAUGGAGGCCUUCGGGUCGUGAACCGCUUUUGAUUGGGAGCAAGCGUGAGUGAGUGUACCUUUCGAAUAAACACCGGCUAACUACGUGCCAGCAGCCGCGGUAAUACGUACGGUGCAAGCGUUGUCCGGAAUCAUUGGGCGUAAAGGGCUCGUACGCGGUUCGUCCCGUCCGGUGUGAAAGCCCAUCGCUUAACUGUGGGUCUGUCCCGGGUACGGGCGGGCUUGAUUGCGUCAGGGGAGGCUGGAAUUCCCUGUGUAACGGUGGAAUGUGUGGAUUUCUGGAAGAACAAC
rnacentral:rRNA from 1 species